UACGGGGGGGGCAAGCGUUGUUCGGAAUUACUGGGCGUAAAGGGCUCGUAGGCGGCCAACUAAGUCGGACGUGAAAUCCCUCGGCUUAACCGGGGAACUGCUUCCGAUACUGGAUGGCUUGAGUGUGGGAGAGGGAUGCGGAAUUCCAGGUGUAGCGGUGAAAUGCGUAGAUAUCGGAAGGAACACCAGUGGCGAAAGCGGCUUCCUGGUCAAGCACCGACGUUCAGGCACGAAAGCGUGGGGAGCAAACAGG
rnacentral:rRNA from 1 species